CUGAAAAACGUGAGAGGAAGAAGAAGGAGGAGAACCAGCAGCUGAAUAGUGUCAAACCUUCCUCAAACUUAGUUAAAUUCAGAAGGUGGUGCGGUCGGGAUUGGACCAUCAUCAAGACAGGAACGACCCACAGGUGGAGCAGGGACGUCACACCAACGAGAUGUCUAGGAUACCCGAUACACGGGAACCUACUUUUGCAAGGAAUUAAGUAGAUGCAUUCUAAAUCACAAUGUAUUUUGUAGGGAUCAAUGUACUGAAUGUAUAACUUUUAUUAGAUCCUUUUUGUUUAAAAAUUGUGAUGGCUAUUAGAAGUAUAAGAGUGCAAACUCAUGUCCAUGUAUAUAUAUUUUUAAUAUGAACUUCAAAUCAUGCAACCUUAAUAUUAUGUGUUUGUGUAAGAUUCGCU